rnacentral:rRNA from 1 species
CCUACGGGGGGCUGCAGUGAGGAAUAUUGGUCAAUGGACGAGAGUCUGAACCAGCCAAGUAGCGUGAAGGAUGACUGCCCUAGGGGUGGUAAACUUCUUUUAUAAAGGAAUAAAACGAGGCACGUGUGCCUUUUUGCAUGUACUUUAUGAAUAAGGAUCGGCUAACUACGUGCCAGCAGCCGCGGUAAUACGGAGGAUCCGAGCGUUAUCCGGAUUUAUUGGGUUUAAAGGGAGCGUAGAUGGGUUGUUAAGUCAGUUGUGAAAGUUUGCGGCUCAACCGUAAAAUUGCAAUUGAUACUGGGAGUCUUGAGUGCAGAUGAGGUAAGCGGAAUUCGUGGUGUAGCGGUGAAAUGCUUAGAUAUCACGAAGAACCCCGAUUGCGAAGGCAGCUUACUAGACUGUGACUGACAUUGAUGCUCGAAAGUGUGGGUAUCAAACAGGAUUAGAUACCCUUGUAGUC